rnacentral:rRNA from 1 species
CUACGGGAGGCAGCAGUGGGGAAUUUUGGACAAUGGGCGCAAGCCUGAUCCAGCAAUGCCGCGUGAGUGAAGAAGGCCUUCGGGUUGUAGAGCUCUUUCGUCAGGGAAGAAACGGCAGUCUCUAAUACAGAUUGCUAAUGACGGUACCUGAAGAAUAAGCACCGGCUAACUACGUGCCAGCAGCCGCGGUAAUACGUAGGGUGCAAGCGUUAAUCGGAAUUACUGGGCGUAAAGCGUGCGCAGGCGGUUUUGUAAGUCUGUCGUGAAAUCCCCGGGCUCAACCUGGGAAUGGCGAUGGAGACUGCAAGGCUAGAGUUUGGCAGAGGGGGGUAGAAUUCCACGUGUAGCAGUGAAAUGCGUAGAUAUGUGGAGGAACACCGAUGGCGAAGGCAGCCCCCUGGGUCAAAACUGACGCUCAUGCACGAAUGCGUGGGGAGCAAACAGGAUUAGAUACCCGAGUAGUCC